rnacentral:lncRNA from 1 species
AGUUCAUUAGAAACACAGCCACAGGGCAGUUAUAUACUGACUCUUCUUCACAUCCUAUGAGGAUCCACCAAGUACCUUGAUACCAGUUUCUGAUAUCUGGAUCUUCAAAUGCUGGUCCUUAAACUAUCUCUGGGCUUGGAAUGUAUCAUUAACAUCAAGUCCUUUUGCUUAAUAUCCUGUCUUCACUUUCGAUAUCGAUAGUCACCCAGAGGUGCCUAACGAGCUGCUAAGAAAGUCGGUUUCCUUCUUCAUUUAGCAAUACUGUGUGAACUUUUGUCCAUAAAGGCAGGUCUCUGAGACACUGUGAGCUGCCACUGUGGAACACACUUUGAACAUAAACUGCAGAACUCAUUAGUCCUUGUGGCCUAGACACAAAAUAAACCAAACAGAAACAAAACAAGAUUUUCUUAAGAAUCUGUCCUUCUAGCAGUGAUUUCUUGGCCAUUGUCCAUGAACAGUCAUGACUUGUGAAAUGGUCACCUGUGUGCUUUCUUUAGAGACUGUCCUACUUGGUGAUGUCAAAAAACAACUGUAUCAACAUUUGGAGGUAAAGUAUUUGUUUUCAAUUUUGUUGUUCACUUUGUUUUGAUCUCACUAGUUCAAUAAACUACUUGAAUAUAGCGAAUAGUUUCAGAAAUAUUUUAUAUACUAAAACCAUUGUAAAUAACUCUAUAACUCAAAAACAUCUAUUACAUGACAUUAACAAAUAGUAUUUCUUCUUCCACUUUAAUUAGCACUUGUGAUGGAAUGGAAAUAUAUAUAAUAUAUUACAUAAUAAGUAUAUAUGCAUGUAUGUAUAACAGUACUGAUGGGCGCUUCAGUAGACUCUCUAAAGAUACAUGGCUGGAAGAUAAGGAGAUGACUCUUCUUGCUAAUUAAGUUUGACUAUCUUCAGAUUUGAAUUCUUUAUGGGCCAAGUGACAUUUUAUUGUUAGGAUAUUAUAACAAAGGGAGACAGCACAUUUUUCAGAUUCUGCAAACACACAAAUUCCUUAUAGAAAAUCACAUUUCUCUUGUAUAUUAUUCAUUUAAAAAGACUUAGGAAACUGCUAAGUAACUCAGGGCAGGGAAGGUUCAAAAUUACAGACACUUAGCAGCGAUUCGAAUCUAAACAUUCUGCUCCUGUUGAUUACUAUGUUAAGUUUACUGUGACCUGCUUUCUGGCAUAUCAUCAGAAACAAAAAUAUGUAACACUCCUCCUUGCCCCCAGAGAUGCACACAGAAGAGCCAAGCACUUGAGUAGAAUGUUUUGCAGGUUAGCCUGGGUGGGUUGGGGAGCAUUCCUUGUGUCUCCAAUGUCCCACUCUGAGUUCUUCUAAAACACAGGUAGGGCUUUGCUUCCAAUAAAUUAGGAAAUUAGAAUCACUGUGUGACAAAGGUCAUACCAUGUCUUUGCCCAUUUCUGCAAUACUCAAAGCCUAGGGCCUCACCCUAACAACUUGUCUUGCCAAAAUCCCCAAGUCACAUACACAGAAACUUGAGUGGCAGGCAAUUACUUCCUUAAGAGUGGUGGUGGUGGUGGUGGUGGUGGUGGUGUGUCUGUGUUUAUUCUUUCAUUUCUUAGUGACUGCAUGUGGCAAAGAAAUUUGGUCAUGGCCUAUGGAACCAGUUUGCCUAUCCUAGAGAGGUCUGGAAAACCUGGGACAUGUGUUUUGACUUUUUAACAUUUAUUUUAAGUGUUCCUACAGUGUUGGGAGCCAGAUUGAGGGCCUCUUGCCUGCUACACUAGUGUUCUUUCACUAACUACAUACCACGACCUACAGCAUAACCUUUUAAAAUGCAUUGGCCUUGGUUUUCUCAAAAUAUGAGGAAUAGUGAAGCUUUAAUAACUAAAAGAUAAUGGUGUAGCCUAGUGUACUUCAGCAUGUCUGCACUCCAGCACUUGAGAGAAGGCUGAGGCAGAAAGAACUUGAGUUUGAGAACAACCUGAGCUACAUCAUGAGUCCCUGUCUCUUAAAUCAAAUCAAAUCAAAUCAAACAAGAACCAAAAAUAUGAGCCAAUAGUUAAAUGUUUUCUAAUGUUUCAAGUACCAUGUUAAAUGCUUAAAGUAGCAAAUGAUUUAAUUUCAAAAUAAUCAAAAGUUGUUGACUUAUGUCCCAGAACAUAGAAUAUAAAAAAGGAUGGAGACUUUUACACAAGGGGUCACUUGGUAUAAGGGAAAGUCGGAUUCGAACCCAACAACCAAGGUUCAGGAAGGAAGCUCUCAGCAGUCCUGCUCCACAGCACGUAGGUGAAGUGAGUGACACACAAGUAUUUAUACAUUUAUUGAGUAUUUUCUAUAUGCCAGCCACCUUGCUAAAAUAUUUAGGGGAAAAUGAAUGGGCAUAUUUUUGUCCUUUCAGAGUUAUUUCUCUUUCACUUUGUAGAGUCAGAGUACAUGAAUUCAAAUUUCAUUUGAGUUAAAAAAAUGUUACUUGAGAUGAUCCUCAAUUGAACACAACAAAAUUAAUAGUGAAAUUGGAAGAAAAGAAAAGACAUCAAAAUAGCUUCGAUUUGAAUUCAUAUUUAGCCUCAAAAGCACCUUAUGAAUCUUUAAGUAAUCAAAUCAAGGGAGCACGGUUUUCUCUUUUGAUUUGUUUCUUUAAAGUGAUUAACUAAAUGCUUUUUCUGGCCUCUGCCCAAGAGCCCACAAAAUCCUGAGGUUUAGCAAUGCAAAUCCUUUCCAACUCACCUCUCAUAAUACCCAGACACCUCCAUUCCCUAGGUCUGCCUUUACAGAGUCCACAAUAACUCAUUAACCCCACUGGGAGUGGGGGGAGUGCUCCCUUUCUCACUGCAGCAAUAUCUUUCUACGAAAUGUUCCACUAGAGAAAAAAAAUUGAUGAUGGACAUAUUAAUCCAAAACAGUCAUUGAAUUAUCUUUAACUUCCAGGGACUGGUGUUGUCUAAAAAUUAUUAUUAUUAUUAUUAUUAUUAUUAUUAUUAUUAUUAUUAUUAUUAUUAUUUUGUCCUGCUUUUGAAUCACAGAAUAUCUUCCAUGCUCUUUUAGGUUUUUCAAGUUAAAAAUUCCUGACAAAUAUGGGAUUUAACUAAACACAACCCCCAUUUGUUUAUUUGUUCAUUUAUUUAUAAUAAAUGGCUAGAGUGUAUUGGGUUAGUAGAGAAAGGAAGGCAGUCCUGUACAAAGUUCUUAACAGAUGAGCCACAGAAAACUGGUAGCGUUGUCAAAACAUUUUGAUGGUUUUUCAAAGAGGUUGCCUAGUGGUUUUCUUAAAAGGGUAUUCUAAUUGAUACUGGCAACAAAAAUGUGAGAAUCUGAAAUAGGAAUUCAUGGCAUAUAAAGUAGGUGUGUGAGAGCUUUGUAGGAUGCCCUCCUCAAACAACCACUACUUUCUGAGAUGGGGAAACACAGAGACCUAGGUGAUACUUUCUAAUGAUGUUGACAGAGACAGCUCACAUGGACAGAGCACCUUGUGGAAGUUGCAAACCUCUUCAGGGGGCAUACGAUGAAGAAUCAGACAGUUGGAUGGUUGCAGCAGAAGUUCCACAUUGAACUGUAUUGUUUUUGUAAUAAAGAAAGCACAGCUCUUGCACAGUUGUGGGUGAGGAGCUGAGUAAAUUUCAAGAUGUGGAGUCAAGUGAGGGCUUCGAAACCAGACAGACUAGACAAGUAAUACUGCAGCC